rnacentral:other from 1 species
CUAUCUCUGCCUGGUUCGCCAAGGUCAAUAGUUCCUUGAACCGAUGCUAACGCAUAUGGUGCCAAGUAUAUCUAGUGGGCGUGCGCGCCUUGUUUCUAUAGAGGUCACUUCGAGUGAUUCUCUCCCUGGGAAUAUUGAUGUGCCCAAAACUAUGUUACCGCACCGCCUUGAACUCUCUGGGUUCAGGAUGACGACCUAGCGGCCAAGGCGGAGACCCA